rnacentral:pre_miRNA from 1 species
UAGCUACUCCCUCCGUCCCAAAUUACUUGUCGCAGGUAUGGAUGUAUCUAGAUGUAUUUUAGUUGUAGAUACAUCCGUUUCUGCGACGAGUAAUUUAGAACGGAGGGAGUACUAA